AGCCGCGGUAAUACGGAGGGUGCGAGCGUUAAUCGGAAUUACUGGGCGUAAAGCGCAUGCAGGUGGUUUGUUAAGUCAGAUGUGAAAGCCCGGGGCUCAACCUCGGAAUUGCAUUUGAAACUGGCAAACUAGAGUACUGUAGAGGGGGUAGAAUUUCAGGUGUAGCGGUGAAAUGCGUAGAGAUCUGAAGGAAUACCGGUGGCGAAGGCGGCCCCCCUGGACAGAUACUGACACUCAGAUGCGAAAGCGUGGGGAGCAAACAGGAUUAGAUACCCUGGUAG
rnacentral:rRNA from 1 species